rnacentral:tRNA from 1 species
GAUGAUGUGGUCCAGUGGUAAAGACGCAUACUCGAAGUGUAUGAGACGAUAGUUCGAUUCUAUCCAUCUUCG